GGGGAAUAUUGCACAAUGGGCGAAAGCCUGAUGCAGCAACGCCGCGUGGAGGAAGAAGGUUUUCGGAUUGUAAACUCCUGUCUUUUGGGACGAUAAUGACGGUACCAAAAGAGGAAGCCACGGCUAACUACGUGCCAGCAGCCGCGGUAAUACGUAGGUGGCGAGCGUUGUCCGGAAUUACUGGGCGUAAAGGGCGCGUAGGCGGCCUGUUAAGUCAGAUGUGAAAACCCCAGGCUCAACCUGGGGACUGCAUAUGAAACUGAUGGGCUAGAGUGUCGGAGAGGGAAGCGGAAUUCCUAGUGUAGCGGUGAAAUGCGUAGAUAUUAGGAGGAACACCAGUGGCGAAGGCGGCUUUCUGGACGAUAACUGACGCUGAGGCGCGAAAGCGUGGGGAGCAAAC
rnacentral:rRNA from 1 species